GAUGAACGCUGGCGGCGUGCCUAAUACAUGCAAGUAGAACGCUGAAGGAGGAGCUUGCUCUUCUGGAUGAGUUGCGAACGGGUGAGUAACGCGUAGGUAACCUGCCUGGUAGCGGGGGAUAACUAUUGGAAACGAUAGCUAAUACCGCAUGACAACAGUUAUUGCAUGAUAACUGUUUAAAAGGGGCAACUGCUCCACUACCAGAUGGACCUGCGUUGUAUUAGCUAGUUGGUGAGGUAACGGCUCACCAAGGCGACGAUACAUAGCCGACCUGAGAGGGGGAUCGGCCACACUGGGACUGAGACACGGCCCAGACUCCUACGGGAGGCAGCAGUAGGGAAUCUUCGGCAAUGGACGGAAGGCUGACCGAGCAACGCCGCGUGAGUGAAGAAGGUUUUCGGAUCGUAAAGCUCGGUUGUAAGAGAAGAACGAGUGUGAGAGUGGAAAGUUCACACUGUGACGGUAUCUUACCAGAAAGGGACGGCUAACUACGUG
rnacentral:rRNA from 1 species